rnacentral:rRNA from 1 species
AUUGAACGCUGGCGGCAUGCCUUACACAUGCAAGUCGAACGGUAACAGGUCUUCGGAUGCUGACGAGUGGCGAACGGGUGAGUAGUACAUCGGAACGUGCCUAGUAGUGGGGGAUAACUACUCGAAAGAGUGGCUAAUACCGCAUGAGAUCUACGGAUGAAAGCAGGGGAUCGCAAGACCUUGUGCUACUAGAGCGGCCGAUGGCAGAUUAGGUAGUUGGUGGGAUAAAAGCUUACCAAGCAGACGAUCUGUAGCUGGUCUGAGAGGACGAUCAGCCACACUGGGACUGAGACACGGCCCAGACUCCUACGGGAGGCAGCAGUGGGGAAUUUUGGACAAUGGGCGAAAGCCUGAUCCAGCAAUGCCGCGUGCAGGAUGAAGGCCUUCGGGUUGUAAACUGCUUUUGUACGGAACGAAAAGCCCCGGGUUAAUACCCUGGGGUCAUGACGGUACCGUAAGAAUAAGCACCGGCUAACUACGUGCCAGCAGCCGCGGUAA